rnacentral:misc_RNA from 1 species
AAGUCGUAACAAGGUUUCCGUAGGUGAACCUGCGGAAGGAUCAUUAAUGAAUAACUUUGGCGUGGUUGUAGCUGGCUCCUUGGAGCAUGUGCACACCCGUCAUCUUUAUCUUUCCACCUGUGCACCACUUGUAGAUCUGGAUAACUCUCGCCUUCUGGCGGAAACAGGGAUUGCUGCGUCGCAAGGCCAGCUCUCCUUGAAUUUCCAGGUCUACGUCUUUACAAACUCCAAUUGAAUGAUGAAGAAUGUAGUCAAUGGGCUCCAAGCCUAUAAAACACAAUACAACUUUCAGCAACGGAUCUCUUGGCUCUC